UGUAUGCUUGCACGUGAUUUUGUCUUCCUUGCUGAUGACACUUGGCAGCCAUCCAUUAGGCCUUCACUUUUGUUUGAUGACAGCUCCAUACACUUGACCUAAUCAACUUUUUUCCACCGAGACCAGCCACCCCAGAUAUCCCAUCAUUUAUUCUCCCUCAGAAAAGAGAAAAUCGGAGAACAGCGCCGCACCUAUCCCCAUUCUCUCUCUCACCUCAAUUUCUCCAACAGCCGCAACACACACCACCUCCACUCCAUUUUUCUGUUCUCCCAUUUUCUAUCACUUCCCAAUAUCACUCUCUACCAUUUUUCUCAAAGAUAAUUAAGGGGCUUUCACUUCACAUCAUCAAGGCUUCAUCAACACAAAGGAUUUUGACUUUGGUAAAGAGUGGGGGCUUAAUAUCAAGUUGGGUUCAUAUUUGCCUAUAGCAAAUUGUGAGCUUAAUUUGUGUUCCCUCUCUCCUCUAUCAUUUCUCUUAAUUUCUUAUGUAUUGGAUGAUGUUUUUAAGUAUGGGUAGUGAGUAGUUUAAUUUUGGGAGUUAGGGUUGUGAAGCCCUAACUCAUCUUGUAUAAAUAUUGAUGCUUUAAUUUUAAUAAAUGCAAUUUCCAUUGUGCUUUGUCACCCUUUGA
rnacentral:lncRNA from 1 species